rnacentral:rRNA from 1 species
CCUACGGGUGGCUGCAGUGAGGAAUAUUGGUCAAUGGGCUUAAGCCUGAACCAGCCAAGUCGCGUGAGGGAUGAAUGUUCUAUGGAUUGUAAACCUCUUUUAUAAGGGAAUAAAGUGCGGUACGUGUCCCGUUAUUUAUGUAACCUAUGAAUAAGGAUCGGCUAACUCCGUGCCAGCAGCCGCGGGAAUACGGAGGAUUCGAGCGUUUUUCGGAUUUUUUGGGUUUAAAGGGUGCGUAGGCGGGCAUUUAAGGCGGCGGUCAAAUGUCGGGGCUCAACCCCGGCCUGCCGUCGGAACUGGGGGUCUUGAGUGGGCGAGAAGUAUGCGGAAUGCGUGGUGUAGCGGUGAAAUGCAUAGAUAUCACGCAGAACUCCGAUUGCGAAGGCAGCAUAACGGCGCCCUACUGACGCUGAGGCACGAAAGCGUGGGUAUCGAACAGGAUUAGAUACCCUAGUAGUC